GUAUCCAGCGAGUCUCUCAUUCUGGGGAAUUAUCCAGGGAAGGAAAGUUUUCCCUCUUCCUCUGUGUUGUUUUUAAUUUAUAGGAGGAAAUAUGGCAGUUGGCACAGCCCCCGAGAAGGACUCAGGCUUGGGUGAAUCACAGGAUGUCACCCCACCAGCCCCCAACCCCGCAUGGUUCCCAGUGCCAGCCAGAGCCCUGCCAGCACCCAAAGCUGUUUAGGAGGGGAAAAAAUGAGCAAGAGCUUGUGGAGAACCAGUGACGUGCUUCUGGAUGUCUGAUAAAAUAGAUGCUAUCUAAUUCCUCCUCAGAAGUUAAUUUGCUGCAGCAGCCAAUUGAAACAACAAAGCUUGGAGCACCC